GUGAGGAAUAUUGGUCAAUGGGCGGGAGCCUGAACCAGCCAAGUCGCGUGAAGGAAGAAGGAUCUAUGGUUCGUAAACUUCUUUUGCAGGGGAAUAAAGUGCAGGACGUGUCCUGUUUUGUAUGUACCCUGAGAAUAAGGAUCGGCUAACUCCGUGCCAGCAGCCGCGGUAAUACGGAGGAUCCGAGCGUUAUCCGGAUUUAUUGGGUUUAAAGGGUGCGUAGGUGGUUUGAUAAGUCAGCGGUGAAAGUUUGCAGCUUAACUGUAAAAAUGCCGUUGAAACUGUCAGACUUGAGUGUAAAUGAGGUAGGCGGAAUGCGUGGUGUAGCGGUGAAAUGCAUAGAUAUCACGCAGAACUCCGAUUGCGAAGGCAGCUUACUAAGCUACAACUGACACUGAAGCACGAAAGCGUGGGGAUCAAACAGGAUUAGAUACCCGUGUAGUCC
rnacentral:rRNA from 1 species